GACGAACGCUGGCGGCGUGCUUAACACAUGCAAGUCGAACGGAAAGGCCCUGCUUUUGUGGGGUGCUCGAGUGGCGAACGGGUGAGUAACACGUGAGUAACCUGCCCUUGACGUUGGGAUAACUUCAGGAAACUGGGGCUAAUACCGGAUAGGAGCUCCUGCUGCAUGGGGGGGGUUGGAAAGUUUCGGCGGUUUGGGAUGGACUCGCGGCUUAUCAGCUUGUUGGUGGGGUAGUGGCUUACCAAGGCUUUGACUGGUAGCCGGCCUGAGAGGGUGACCGGCCACCUUGGGCCUGAGGUACGGCCCAGACUCCUACGGGAGGCAGCAGUGGGGAAUAUUGCACAAUGGGCGGAAGCCUGAUGCAGCAACGCCGCGUGCGGGAUGACGGCCUUCGGGUUGUAAACCGCUUUCGCCUGUGACGAAGCGUGAGUGACGGUAAUGGGUAAAGAAGCACCGGCUAACUACGUG
rnacentral:rRNA from 1 species